UACAGAGGGUGCAAGCGUUAAUCGGAAUUACUGGGCGUAAAGCGUGCGCAGACGGUUGCGUAAGUCAGAUGUGAAAGCCCCGGGCUCAACCUGGGAAUUGCAUUUGAGACUGCGUAGCUAGGGUGCGGAAGAGGGAAGCGGAAUGUCCGGUGUAGCGGUGAAAUGCGUAGAUAUCGGAAGGAACACCAGUGGCGAAAGCGGCUUCCUGGUCCAGCACCGACGUUCAGGCACGAAAGCGUGGGGAGCAAACAGG
rnacentral:rRNA from 1 species